GCCUCCGUAGUUUAAUGGAUAGAAUGCAAGCUUCCGGAGCUUGUGAUAUGGGUUCGAUUCCUAUCGGAGGCG
rnacentral:tRNA from 1 species